UUUAGAUUUAAUAUUUAUUUAGGAUUUAUUUAGAGUUUAUUUAGGACUUGAUAAAGGUUUUUUAGGAUUUUCUUAGAAUUUGAUAUAAGAUUUGGUUAGGAUUUAGGAUUUGAUUAGGAUUUAGUUAAGAUUUUAUUAGGAUUUAGUUAGAAUUGAUUUAGAAUUUCAUUAGAAUUUGUUUAGUAUAUGAUUAAAGUUGGUUUAGGAUUUUAUUAGGAUUUUUUGAAGAUUAUAUUAGGAUUUAACUAAGAUUAAAUUAAGAUUUCUAUUUUUAAU
rnacentral:lncRNA from 1 species